rnacentral:lncRNA from 1 species
UAUAUGUCACCGUAAGAUUACAAACUUCGUUAGAUUACAAUCUAUCUCGAGAGAUUGUAAACUGUCGAAUUAUUGUGAACCGUAACAUCUGAUUGCAAUUUAACGCAUUAUUUUUCGCUAUAUUGUAAUCUAUCGAUGAGAAAUUGUCAAAUUGUCAACUGUCCGAAAGCUCUCCCUGAUUGGUCCGUCUUUUUGUAAGAUCGACCAAUAAUCCGUUCUGUUCCCAUGGAGUUCCCGUAGAGUUAGGAAUGAAAUAGAGGUGUCAGUUAAAUAAAAUAAAUGCUCUUCAAAAAUUCUUCAAGGAUUUAUUAUUUAGUACGAGUAUGUUAUUAAUAUUCCUGACAUAUGGAGAGAACAAAUUGUAACGAAAUAUUUAUUCUUCAAACACAAAUUGAAAUUGGAAACAUAUUGAUUUCUGACACUUACGCGAAUAUUAGACAUUUAAAUAAAACUACUUUUA